rnacentral:lncRNA from 1 species
AUGACAGCCCAUGCCAGCCAGUGCCAGGUUUUUGCAGCUAAUGUCACACCUUGCCAGCUCGUGCGGAACCUUGCCACACCUUGCCAGCCCAUGCCAGACCAUGCCAGCCGUCGCAAGCACAUGCCAAACCUUGCCCACCUUGCCAGCCCAUGCCAGCCGUCGCAAGCACAUGCCAGACAUUGCCCACCUUGCCAGCCCAUGCCAGACCAUGCCAGCCCUUGCCGGUCCUUGUUAGCCCUUGAAAACCCUUGCCAGUCCAUGCCACACCUUGCCCGCCCAUGCCAGCCCAUGCCAGCCCAUGCCACAGCCUCCAAGCCCAUGCCACACCUUGCCAGCCCCUGCAAGCCCCUGCAAGCCCAUGCCAAAGCUUGCCAGCCAGCGCCAGACCUUGCAAUCCCUUGCCAGCCCUUGAAAACCCUGGCCAGCCCAUUCAACAACUUGCUAGACCUUGCAAGACUUAGCCGGACCUUGCCAGGCCUUGCCAGCACAUGCCAGACCUUGCCAAGACUUGCCAGCCCAUGCCACACUCGCCAGACCUUGCCAGCCCAUGCCACACUUUCCCAUACCUUGGUUGCCCAUGCCAGAACUUGCCACCCCUUGUCAGCCCAUGCCACACUUUGCCAGACUGUAGCAGCCAGUUCCCACCUGUCAAAACUACUAGCAAAAGUUUACGGAACUUUGUGUGAAAGAGUUAAGUUCCUUAACCGUAUCUCUGUGUGGACAAGGCCUUGGCACUCCAUGCCUGCUAAUGCCGGCCCAGUCCAGCCCGUGCCGUGCCACUCCUGGCUAGACCUUGGUAGCCCCUGCAAGUACAUGCGAGCCCAUGCCUGACCUUGCGAGCCCUUGCCAGGCCUUGCCGGGCCUUGCAAGCCCUUGCUCGCCCUUGCCAGCCCAUAUGUCAAAAUUUGCCAGCCCUUGUUAGUCCUUGCCGGCCCUUCUCAGCCCAUCCCAGCCCUUGUCAGCCCUCGUCAGGCCUUGCAAGCCCAUGCCACCCCAUGCCAGACUCUACCAGCCCAUGCCAGCCAAUGCCGACCCAUGCCAGCCCACGUCAGACCUUGCCAGACCUUGUCAGCCCAUGCCUGCCCUUCUAGCCCAUGCCGGCCCACGCCAGACUUUGCAAGCUCAUGUGAGCCCAUGCCACACCUUGCCAGACCAUGCAAGCCCAUGCCAGACCUUGUCAGAACCUACCGGUCCUUGCAAGCCCUUGCCAGCCCAUGCGAGCCCAUGCAAGGCCAUGCCAGCUCAUGCAAGCCUAUGCCGGCCUUUGCCAACCCUUGCCAUCCUACGCCAUACCGUGGCAGACCUUGCCAGUCCUUGCUCGCCUUUGUCAGCCUUUAGCAGCCCUUCCCAGCCUAGCUAGACCUAACAAGACCUUGCCAGCCCAUGGCAGACCUCACCAGGACUUGCCAGCUAAUGCCACACUUUGCCAGUUCUUGCGAGCCCUUGCCAACCCCCUUACCAGCCCUUUCCGGCCCAUUUCACACCUUGCCAGCCCUUGCUAGCUCUAGCCAUCCGUGCCAGCCGAUGUCAGACCAUGCCAGACCUUCUCAACCGUUGCCAGACCAUGCCAGCCAUUACCGCACCUUACCAGACCUUGAAAGCCCAUGCCAGCCAAUCCCAGACCUUGCCAGCCCAUGCCAGACCUUGUCACACCUUGUCGGCCCUUGCCAGAACCUACCGGUCCUUGCACGCCCUUGGCAGCCCAUGCCAGCUCAUGCAUGCCCAUGCCAGCCCAUGCCAGUCCAUGCCGGCCUUUGCCAAUCCUUGCCAUCCCACGCCAUACUUUGGCAGACCUUGCCAGUCCUUGCUCGCCUUUGUUAGCCUUUAGCAGCCCUUCCCAGACUAGCCAGACCUAACCAGACCUUGCCAGCCCAUGCCAGCCCAUGCCAGCCCAUGCCAGACCAUUGCAGACCUUGCCGGUCCUUGCCUGCCCUUCUAGCCCAUGCCAGCCCACGCCAGACUUUGCAAGCUCAUGUGAGCCCAUGCCGUACCUUGCCAGACCAUGCAAGCCCAUGCCAGACCUUGUCAGAACCUACCGGUCCUUGCAAGCCCUUGCCAGCCCAUGCGAGCCCAUGCAAGGCCAUGCCAGCCCAUGCAAGCCUAUGCCGGCCUUUGCCAACCCUUGCCAUCCUACGCCAUACCGUGGCAGACCUUGCCAGUCCUUGCUCGCCUUUGUCAGCCUUUAGCAGCCCUUCCCAGCCUAGCUAGACCUAAUAAGACCUUGCCAGCCCAUGUCAGACCUCACCAGGACUUGCCAGCUAAUGCCACACUUUGCCAGUUCUUGCGAGCCCUUGCCAACCCCCUUACCAGCCCUUUCCGGCCCAUGCCACACCUUGCCAGCCCUUGCUACCUCUAGCCAUCCUUGCCAGCCGAUGUCAGACCAUGCCAGACCUUCUCAACCGUUGCCAGACCAUGCCAGCCAUUACCGCACCUUACCAGACCUUGAAAGCCCAUGCCAGCCAAUCCCAGACCUUGCCAGCCCAUGCCAGACCUUGUCACACCUUGUCGGCCCUUGCCAGAACCUACCGGUCCUUGCAAGCCCUUGCCAGCCCAUGCCAGCUCAUGCAUGCCCAUGCCAGCCCAUGCCAGCCCAUGCCGGCCUUUGCCAACCCUUGCCAUCCCACGCCAUACUUUGGCAGACCUUGCCAGUCCUUGCUCGCCUUUGUCAGCCUUUAGCAGCCCUUCCCAGACUAGCCAGACCUAACCAGACCUUGCCAGCCCAUGCCAGAUUUCACCAAUACUUGCCAGCUAAUGCCACACUUUGCCAGUUCUUGCGAGCCCUUGCCAACCCCUUUACUAGCCCUUUCCUGCCCAUGCCACACCUUGCCAGCCCUUGCCGGCCCAUGGCAGCCCUUCCUAGUUCUAGCCAUCCCUUGCCAGACCUUGUCAGCCCUUGCCAGACCAUGCAAGCCCGAGCCAGCUCAUACCCGCCCAUCCCAGACCUUGCCAGCC